AUACGGAGGGAGCGAGCGUUGUCCGGAAUUACUGGGCGUAAAGGGCGCGUAGGCGGCGCUUCAAGUCGUCUGUCAAAUGGGAGGGCUUAACCCUUUUUCGCAGACGAAACUGGAGAGCUUGAGACGCAGAGAGGCAAACAGAAUUCCUGGUGUAGCGGUGAAAUGCGUAGAUAUCAGGAAGAAUACCAGUGGCGAAGGCGGUGUUCUGGCUGCAUACUGACGCUGAAGCGCGAAAGCCAAGGGAGCAAACGGGAUUAGAUACCCCGGUAGUCCUGGCAGUAAACGGUGUAUGCUGGGUGUGAGACUAGCGAUAGUUGCGUGCCUAAGUUAACGCGAUAAGCAUGCCGCCUGGGGAGUACGGUCUCAAGAUUGAAACUCAAAUGAAUUUACAGGG
rnacentral:rRNA from 1 species